GAUGAAGAACGUAGCGAAAUGCGAUACUUGGUGUGAAUUGCAGAAUCCCGUGAACCAUCGAGUCUUUGAACGCAAGUUGCGCCCGAAGCCAUCAGGUUGAGGGCACGUCUGCCUGGGCGUCACAUAUCGUUGCCCAAUGCCUAUUGCAGUGCAAUAGGAAUUUCUAGGGCGAAUGAUGGCUUCCCGUGUGCGUUGUUGCCUCGCGGUUGGUUGAAAAUCGAGUCCUUGGUAGGGUGUGCCAUGGUAGAUGGUGGUCGAGUUAGAACGAUACCGAUCAUGUGCAUGCUCCCCAAAAUAUGGCCUCUAUGACCCACACGCGUCUUUUGACGCUCAUGACGAGACCUCAGGUCAGGCGGGGCUACCCGCUGAAUUUAAGCAUAUCAUAAGCGGAGGA
rnacentral:misc_RNA from 1 species